CACUAUAAAGACCGUUGCUGUGCUUGCGUCACUCCCUUACCCCUCCGACCAGUUCCUAUGGCCACUUGGCUAGUGCAAAUGCAAAUGGUAAAACAGUUUUGGGGGAGAGUAGUUUGUAGAACUGUUUAAAAGUGGACUAUUCCUAUAACUACGUUCAUGUAACUACUUGGUCAGAAAACGGCUUAUAACAACAAAAGG